GUGCCAUUGUGUCUCCUCUCGGUGUGAAUGGUGACAAAUGAAAAUGCUGUACCACAGCAACAGCGCCACAAGUGUUGCCCUCCUUUGCCUUUUGGUAGGCCUGCCACUGCAGCCCUCUCCCUUUUGCCCAGCAUUGGCACUCGUCCCUGGCAUACCCCAGGUUCUGCAUCUCCUUUGACGUGUCCCCGUAGACGAUUUUAUUGCUGCAGGAUCCGCAGCAGUGCCUGCACGGCCCCUUCUCCCCACAGGCUGAGGAAAUCCAGGACGUCUUUCCUGGACCAGCCAGCAGCACAUGGUUUGUCUGAGGUUUCCUUCGCUGCAGCUUUCCCUGGAGCCAUACUGGUGUGCUUGCAAAGGGACCAGCGCACAGGAGUCAGCACAAGAGGAGAGAAGCAAGAACAAGAGGAAACCUGCCCUAGCAACCUAGGGCAGGUUUUGAGCAAGGAGGGGUUCGUUUCACACCCUGCCAAGCAAGAGAAGAGCAAAUUGCUUCAAGCAUUGAGAGGGAGAGAGCCUGGCUAAAUGUUAUGGGGCAACCAGAGAUUCAGCAAAGGAGCAAGCUGAACCUGCGCUGGUCUGAGGAGCUCCAAGAUGUUCUUCAGGACUAGGUGGCAUGUUUGAGGGAGAGUGAGGCUCCAUGCUCACUGCAGAAUGAUCUAUGUUUGCAAAUAUGAUUACAGCACAAACCUGGUCCCUCUUCCUCUCCCUCCUUCCCCCCGCACAAAUAAUCACAGCACAGCGUUGGCUAAUGACUGUUGCACAUGAGACCAAACCAUCCCUGAGGCUUGCAUACAGUUUUGGGCCUGUGUGGUGUGGCAGGGGCCUAGGGUCUGGCAAUAACUGAUAUUUCCCGACAAGAGGAAAAUGUAUAAAUCCGUACUACCAUGUGACCAGCUAACACAGAAAUUGGGUGCAUCCAGCAUGAGGGCAUAGUCUAGCAUCU